UACAGAGGUCUCGAGCGUUAGGCGGAAUCACCGGGCUUAAAGCGUGUGUAGGCGGAUUGGUAAGUACUUUGUGAAAUCCCACGGCUUAACCGUGGAACUGCUUGGUAUACUGCCAGUCUUGAGCCAGCUAGGGGCUACCGGAACAAAUGGUGGAGCGGUGAAAUGCGUAGAUAUCAUUUGGAACGCCAAUGGUGAAAACAGGUAGCUGGGGCUGUGCUGACGCUGAGACACGAAAGCCAGGGGAGUAAACGGG
rnacentral:rRNA from 1 species